UAAAAUCGAUUUAAAGUACCUUGUAGUGUGGACGGCCCUUAGUAUGUUGCUGCCAUCACUUACAAUAUUUUUGGUUAACCCCGAAUGCUGGCAGGUUAAUGUACUCCCUUCCCCAGUUCAAUGUUCCAGACUUUAUCUUUAUCAUGAACAAGGUUAAUCAUUGUAGCGCUUCUUAGAGCAAGGUGUUUGAGGUAAUACCUUUUAUUGGACCAAUAUCAGCUAUUACCUCAACCACCUUGUGUCUCUAAUAUCCUGGGGCUAACACAGCUAGAACAGUAGUGCUUUUUGUCAGCCUUCUUGCCAAUUCUCCAUAUCUUUUCAAACAGAUCCAAAACGUUCCAGCCACAUAUCUUGUUCUGAUUUCCACACUCCUGGGCUGUGCACUUUGCAUUGGCUUGGGUGUUGUGUUUUCUUUGUUUCUUAAAUCAGUGUUUUGUUUUUAACUACAAACCUAGCGCAGUCAUGCACUAAGCACAUAGACUCCCUUGCCGUAUAGAUUCCAGCCCAAACUCUCAAGCCCUCCUCUAGAUUGCCAACAGUAUCCAAGUCUUGCAAAUUUUUCUUCUUGUACAGUGAUUGAGGAUUUAUAUACUGUGCCCUCUCUUUCUAGAACGCUCUACUCUACUCUUCCCCUCAGGGAGACUCCCACUUGACAUGGAUUUAGAAGUCAGUUUAAACUGUCUUUUAAAAUACUGGAUGGAGUUGGGUUCAUUGUACAAUAUAACAUUUUUUAGAUGGCACGCUGUCUUUGGCAUCUUUGCAUCAUUAAAAGUAUUUUGUGGAAUAAUUAUAGUUUGUGUGACUCUUCCAUUCACUGUUUUACUGAUGAAAUGUCUGCUUUUUGAAUAUUCAACUUUAUCCGCUGGUGACCUGCAGUGAUUAAAUAAGCUUUGCAAUGUAUAUACUAAAUGUACCAUUUUGUGUAUUUAUAAUGUUUGUUAUAUUUGAUAAGGAUAACAUCAUGUUCAGCAAUUGUGAAUAACUAAAAGAUAAAGGUCUUCAUAUUAACAAUGUUUAUAAAGAAACAGGUAAAAACUGCCUAUUUCAUUAUUACAGAUCAUUAAUAUCAAUGCAGGGUCACAGUGUUUUUAUAAAGGGGAUAAAAAAGGCACCACUUUAACAUUAUUCUUUGAGUCUAUGUAUUGUGUGCCCCAGCUGUGUGGCCUGUGUCUGAGUUAGACCCUGAUCCUGAGUACUGUACAUGUAUAAGUAUUUUCAGGUUUAGCUUAACCAAAGAGGAAGAGGUCCAAUGAAAUUAAAAUUACAAUUCAACAUUUAAAAGAUGUACUAUCCCAACCUUUUGAAAAAUAGCAUUAACUUUGUUUUUAAAGUGUUGCUUCAAUGAAUUGCCUUGAUGCUAAUCCCUCCCACCCCCCCCCCCCCAAAAAACCCUCCAGCCAAAUAAAAAUGUCUGUAAAAUCCAUUU